rnacentral:rRNA from 1 species
GCAAGUCAAGGAAAAGCAUUUCUUCGGAAGUCUGGACACUGGCGCACGGAUGAGUAACGCGUAGGCAAUCUACCUUUAUCACUGACAUAACAGGCCUAACGGCCUGCUAAUGGCAGAUAGCACAAGCGAAUGGCAUCGUUUGCUUGUGAAAGGCUUCGGCUGGAUAAAGACGAGCCUGCGUCCCAUUAGGUAGUUGGCGGGGUAACGGCCCACCAAGCCGGCGAUGGGUAGCUGGUCUGAGAGGAUGAUC